GUGUGGCUGAGUGGUACAGCUCUUCCCUGACAGGGACGAAGCCCUGGGUUCCAUCCCUAGCAC
rnacentral:tRNA from 1 species